UACGGGGGGGAGCAAGCGUUGUUCGGAUUUACUGGGCGUAAAGGGCGCGUAGGCGGCCAGCACAAGUCAGUUGUGAAAUCUCCGAGCUUAACUCGGAAAGGUCAACUGAUACUGUGCGGCUAGAGUGCGGAAGGGGCAACUGGAAUUCUUGGUGUAGCGGUGAAAUGCGUAGAUAUCAAGAGGAACACCUGCGGCGAAGGCGGGUUGCUGGGCCGACACUGACGCUGAGGCGCGAAAGCCAGGGGAGCGAACGGG
rnacentral:rRNA from 1 species